UACGUAGGGUGCGAGCGUUAAUCGGAAUUACUGGGCGUAAAGCGUGCGCAGGCGGUGAGGUAAGACCGAUGUGAAAUCCCCGAGCUUAACCUGGGAACUGCAUUGGUGACUGCCUCGCUCGAGUAUGGCAGAGGGGGGUAGAAUUCCACGUGUAGCAGUGAAAUGCGUAGAGAUGUGGAGGAAUACCGAUGGCGAAGGCAGCCCCCUGGGUCAAUACUGACGCUCAUGCACGAAAACGUGGGGAGCAAACAGG
rnacentral:rRNA from 1 species